CCUACGGGUGACAGCAGUGAGGAAUAUUGGUCAAUGGCCGGAAGGCUGAACCAGCCAUGCCGCGUGAAAGUCAGUGCCCUAUGGGCGUUAAACUUCUUUUGUGCGGGAGCAAUAAUGGUCACGUGUGGCCAGACGAGAGUACCGUACGAAUAAGCAUCGGCUAACUCCGUGCCAGCAGCCGCGGUAAUACGGGGGAGCCAGCCGUUUUCGGGAUUUUUGGGUUUUAAAGGGUGCGUAGGCGGACUGUUAAGUCAGCGGUAAAAGCCCGGGGCUCAACCCCGGCGAGCCGUUGAAACUGGCUGUCUUGAGAUGUCGAGAGGUAUGCGGAAUGCGCAGUGUAGCGGUGAAAUGCUUAGAUAUUGCGCAGAACUCCGAUUGCGAAGGCAGCAUACCGGCGGCGAUCUGACGCUGAGGCACGAAAGCGUGGGUAUCGAACAGGAUUAGAUACCCCAGUAGUC
rnacentral:rRNA from 1 species